CGCAGGCGGGCCGGCUGCCCACCCGCCCCUCAUAAGGGUGGUUCGCCCGGAUCGACACCGGGGCCUGCGACCA
rnacentral:tRNA from 1 species